AAUUAAAUUAUGUGUAUUUUUUAGAUAUAAUGCUAUUGCACACUUAAUAGAUUACAGUUUUAUAUAAACAUAACUUCUAUAUGCACUAGAAAGCCAAAAAAUUUUUGUGACUUGCUUUAUUGAGAUAUUUGCUCUAUUGCUGUGGUCUGGAACUGAACCCACAAUAUCUCCAAGGUAUACCUGUAUUCAAAAACUUAAUUAUCCAAUUUAGCGAAGAAUUUGCUCACAUGAAGUUGUUCAUUGACAAAUGAAUGAAGUUCUGACAUUUACUUGCUAACAAAAAAGAAAAUAUCAGCCAACACUCAUGUUUAUGGAACACUUUUUAUUAAUUGCAACCAUAAUUUAGGGAGGAUACAGGAAUUCAGCAAAAGUCAGAAAAAGCAUUAGAAGAGGUUUAAUUGGCUAUGUGAAAAUCAUAACAUGAAUAUUAUAUCAUUUUUAAUAAUUGUGUGCCAUUUAUUCUUCAUGUUAGUAAGGUAUAUUUCAAAAAUAUAUACAUGUGUGUAUUUUCUUUCCUAGAGAGCAAAUUUAUCAGCACAGCACUGACACUCUUUUACCCCUUUCACACUGCCUUAGUUUAUCCAUUAAUUGCCAGCUCAUUUCCUUCUUUGACAUUCUCACAUUUGUUUGGCUGAAACUUGAAAUAGUUGUCAGAAAAAAGUUGAGAAAGGUAAUUUCUCACCAUUAUCUCUGUUGUCUUAGAUACUUGAUACGGGAAGCUGUGGAUAUUGGUUAUAGUAUUUAAGGUAUUCCAUUCUCUUUCUUCUAGUUACAAACUUCGCCUCUCUUGCCUUCCUGCCACAGAAGAGACUAUGGAACUCAGACUUGAUUAAUUUGAGCAACAGUGAUUAGUGGAUUAUCAAGUGUCCUAAUGAAACAGAGAAUUUGUCUCUGGGUUUGAUACAUAGAUUCUCAGGGGAACUUCUUCGUAGGGUGGUUAAGCUGGAUCUUCUGGCAGGUUAAGUUCUCCACCAUGUGAAGAAGGUAUCUCUGCAGCAGGAGAAAAUGAGAUUACUGUGCCAAGAGAGGUAACUCCUAAACUAAAGGUACAUCAGACCCAACAGGCAGAAAAAGAGCCUGCAAGGCAAGAGAAUGAGACCCAAAUGCUGCACCAGUGUAAGCUGAAGUACAAAGGAGGCCAAAAGUUUACCCUACUAUGUUUGAUUUUUAAAAUUCUAUAGCCCAUUUUAGGUUAAAAAUCCUAUCACCUCUUUUUUCAAAAUGUCUACCCCCAUCCCAAACAUGAGGACCACUUUUUCUACCCUCUUCCAAAUGUGAAACCUGCUGAGAAAUUAAAAAGAACAGAAGUCAAUAGGCACUGAGGAAAAAGAUGGGUCUCAGAGUAGGUUUGCGGUAGGUACAAAACAUUUAAAGUAUUAGUAUAAGUCCUUUAACAAAAGUAAGAUAAUUCUUUUACUUUCAGAAUUUUUAUUUGCAUAACUUUGUUUAAUAGACAACUGAUUGAACUUUGAUUAUAAAAUAAUUAUGAAAACCCCAAAAUGAAUGUGACUGCUUGCCGUAAUUGAUGCAGUUACAGUUUGAAAGUAACACAUGUCGCAAAGAGAGGACACAGCAGAAAAUUUAGAAUCAUAAUUUUUAGGCAGUAACUGUUGAUGAAUGCCAAUUUUGAAUUAUUUUAAAAACCAGAGACUAAUAAAUAGUUUUAUAGGACACAGUUUUAUAAAACUUAAAAGUAAAUUUUUUUGUGAACUCUCUAGAGAAUAAGUUUUGGCAAAUAUGCUAGUGAUGAAACACUUUCUAUUCUGUAAUAAUUAUAUUGUAUGCAAUCAUUAUUUUGUAUGUCUUUACUACAUCGAGCUUCUCAAAGAGCCAAUCUUUGUAUCUCCAGAUCCUAUACAAAAUGUAACUAAAUAAAUGUUUGCACAGUU